rnacentral:rRNA from 1 species
UACGAAGGGGGCUAGCGUUGCUCGGAAUUACUGGGCGUAAAGGGAGCGUAGGCGGAUAGUUUAGUCAGAGGUGAAAGCCCAGGGCUCAACCUUGGAAUUGCCUUUGAUACUGGGAAUCUCGAGUCCGGGAGAGGUGAGUGGAACUGCGAGUGUAGAGGUGAAAUUCGUAGAUAUUCGCAAGAACACCAGUGGCGAAGGCGACUCACUGGCCCGGUACUGACGCUGAGGUGCGAAAGCGUGGGGAGCAAACAGG